AGAUGCGCCGCCGCGCGCCCCCCGCUCCGGGCCCCACCGUGCUCUGCCGCGCGCCGGGGGCUCCUCUCCCGGGCCCCCCUGGGCGCCCUCCGGCUCUGGUUCCCGCCCGCUCCUUGGAAUAACCCCUGAGGCUCCAGCCGUCACCGCAAAGUUUCCCGAGGAGACCCGCCUCCCCGGCCGCUGCGCAGGUGAGGAAGCAGGCAGUGGGCGAGAAGACGGAUUCCUUUUUGGACAGACAAGACCAGGGAGUGAAGCGGGAAGAACCCAUCCUCCCUACCUCCCCAGCAAGGAAACCUCUACAAACAGGAGCAGCUAAGCAGAACUGAGGCCCUUGCCCCCCAAGCAUCUUCCCAAAGAAGGGCAUGUGGGGGCCUGACAGCUCAGCUGCAUGUGUCAGCAGCUCCAGCCCCACCAUGAACAUCUGAACUCCUCAGCAGGGUAAUGGACCCCCUCCUUCCCCCCGGAGACACAGCCUGAGUGGCAGGAAUACAGAGCCUUUGGAGAGUGGCUCCCUCUCAGCUCCGUCACGCAAGAACGCUCUCUGCACCCAGCCCAUUCUGCCAAGUGACUUAAAGGGAUUAAAAAAAAAAAAAAAAAAAAGCCUUGGUAAACAAAAAGGGGGUAAAAGCCACGCAGAGGUCUUUCAGAAGAGGUG
rnacentral:antisense_RNA from 1 species